AGGGCACCACCAGGAGUGGAGCCUGCGGCUUAAUUUGACUCAACACGGGGAAACUCACCCGGCCCGGACACUGGAAGGAUUGACAGAUUGAGAGCUCUUUCUUGAUUCAGUGGGUGGUGGUGCAUGGCCGUUCUUAGUUGGUGGAGUGAUUUGUCUGGUUAAUUCCGAUAACGAACGAGACUCUAGCCUACUAAAUAGAUCGUCGGCUUACAAACGCCGGCGAGACUUCUUAGAGGGACAGGCGGUGAUUCAACCGCACGAAACAGAGCAAUAACAGGUCUGUGAUGCCCUUAGAUGUCCGGGGCCGCACGCGCGCUACACUGAGGUGAUCAGCGUGCUUUUUCAACCUACUCUGUCAAGAGUGGGGAACCCAAUGAACCUUCUUCGUGAUUGGGAUAGGGGAUUGUAAUUGUUCCCCUUGAACGAGGAAUUCCCAGUAAGCGCGAGUCAUAAGCUCGCGUUGAUUACGUCCCUGCCCUUUGUACACACCGCCCGUCGCUACUACCGAUUGAAUGUUUU
rnacentral:rRNA from 1 species